rnacentral:lncRNA from 1 species
CAGGGGUGAAGCAAUGCAUUUGGCUGGUCUGUCUCUACUGGAUCGAGAGCUCUCCAACGGGAAAGACACAAAAGGCAGAGGAGGGGUUGGUCGCUGGCGCGUCUAGCCUACACUACCUGGUCCCCCAGCUCUCUUGCUGUCAAAUUCAUACCCAGGCACCUCCAGAUGCUCUGGGAGAUGGUGAGCAAUAUCACAGGUGAUCUCUAGGGCCUUAUGUUCCAUUUGAAAUGCGAUACAUAAACAUGGGGCGCCUGGGAGCUCUGCCGGUUAAGCGUCCCCCUUCUGCUCAGGUCAUGAUCUCAUGGGUUCGAGCCUCAUGUCAGGCUCUGUGCUGAUGGCUCGGAGCCUGCAGCCUGCUUUGGAUUCUGUGUCUUCCUCUCUCUCCGCCCCUCCCCUGCUCAUGCUCUGUCUCUCUCUCUCAAAAAUGAAUAAACAUUAAAAAAAAAAAAUGUGUAGGAGUGAGAUUCCACUCCAAAAAAUAUAAGAAUAUUUUUUGACUAUCUGCACUGUGAACUGGGGCUUGGUGUAGAAGUCCCUCGAAUCCAGAAGACCAGGACACUGGUGGCCUGGGUGUCACUGGGUGACAGGAAGAAUUAGAAGUCCUGGGUCCAGUUUUGCCUUCAUUUUUCUUGUUGUUUCUCCUCGGUUUAUUCAGCCAGUCCUGGGUUUGAGCUCAACUCUGCCCCUUACCUGUAGGAAUUAGAGCCCAGGGCAACGGGGCCUUUGCCCUGAGGUUCCUGGGGUGACCCACAUUGUAAGCCUUGACCCGUCCUCUGGGGUGGAGAGCUUCUGGACAUUUCAUUUGUGCAAUGACCCCCUUUGUUCUGACCCAACAGAAGUCCCUGCCCUGCUCCGCCGAGGAAGCCUUCCUGGGCCUGUCACUGUUUACAGACUCUCAGAAAGGCAGGUGUUGGGAGGAAGCUGCCGCUUGCGGUCGGUUCUCCCCAGAUACAGGAGGGCCCGGCCCCCCCCCCAGGCCGGCUGCCAUUGGCUAACAGGAGGCCAAAACAGACUCCUCUCCCGCCUGCAGCCACCCAGCCAGCAAACAAAGAGCGCACAGGAAACACCUGGAGGAGAGGGCAGCUGGCAAGGGGACCUCCGCAGGAAAGAAGAAAGGGUUUGCAGGAGGAAUUAGGCUGCUCUGCAAAGAAGUGGUGCAGAGAAAAAGCCCGAACUCUCCAGAACUCACCAGGCUUGCCCUUCCCAGCUUCCCCGUUUCUCUCUCUUCCUGGAAGGGAGAACGUGAUUCCGCAUGAUUCCACAGGUGGGCAGGAAGGAGCCACCUGCUAUAGGUCUUCUGAGUGUAACUGAAGAGAAAUACCACGAGACACCGAGAAAAGGAUGUGCAUCUGAAGAAAACGCUUAGUGAGUUGAGGAUGUUGGCUUCUCUACACCACACGGCUUCAUCUGCUACAUUUUUAUUAAAGUAACCAAAAAAAAAAAAAAGAAAAAAGCGCGUACAUUUGUCCAUAAAGCUGUACAUCCUUCCAUAUAAAAACACUAUUAUACAAUUAGUAACCUUUGUCUUUUCUGUCAGAACAGCUUACCAACGUGCUACUAUUAUUUCUUUUUACUUAAUAGGAGAGACAGGCCUGCUCAACAGUCCAGCUCUGGGUGUUUUGCUGUUUUUUAAAGUGAACAUUAAAAAAAAAUAAGAAGAAGAAAGAGAGAGAGAGAGAGAAGAGAGGAAAGAUUAAGCAGGAGACCAUGAGGCUGCUUCUUUUUAAAAAAGGCAGGGAUCUGUUUGCAGACAGGAUGCAACAAUGCCACGUCCAGUGAUUCACAGCUUUGUCUCAACCCACAGGCCAGAAAAUGAGUUCUUGGGUCUGUGGGUCUGAAGUUAGCUUUAAAGCAAUAAAGGCUGGAAGCAGGGUCUGGGAAGGCA